UCUUCUCUCGAGACUUCCACUGUCUCCCCUUCCUCUUCCUUUCUCCUUCCUAUCUCUCUCCUUCCCUUUCUCUAGAUCUGCUCUGGCCGCCGGGCACCAGCGGGCGCGGACCUGGCUGCUGGGCGGGACGCUGGCGUUGCGAGGCCACCGUGGGUGCCGCUGGCACAGGGUCCCGCCGGCCUGGCUGCGGUCAUCGCUGGCGCGUUGGGGCGCGGCCUCCCACUGUCGGAGCCAGGCCGAGCCACCAAACUGCGGUGGAGAGCGCAGGAGCCCGACCUCCCAGCUUGGAGCGGGGCUGGGCCACCCCGGCAGUGGAGCGCGCAGAAUAACUUGGACGGAGAUCAUGGAUUGUGCAUCCAGUGCAGCCACUCCUAUGUGUCUUGAUGCCUCUUGUGAGCGUGAAUGAACAGUCAGCCAAGAAGCAGCAGAAGAGGAAGAGGGCCUUCUUUGAAUUGGAUAUUGGGGAUAAAGAAUCUAUAUCCGCUGAAUGGCAGCGAGAAAUGAAAUCUUGUGAGCAUUUUGUGAUUCUUGUGUAGUCUUGUGAAAACAGUGAAAUGAAAUGUCGUAAUUGUUGUGUAGUCUUGUGUAAGAUCUUGAUUCUUGUGUAAUGAAAUCUUGUGAUUGUUGUGACUCUUGUAAAAUGUGAUUCAGUGAUUCUGAAA